UCAAAUUUACAUUUUAAAUCCAAUGUCUCAACCACUUCGCUUCCCAGCACUUGAAAGGGCAUUAACAAGUGCCGUAAGUUCUUUUAACAUGAAAAUCGAUAAAAGCGGCUAUGUGCCCAAAGUAAAGAAUCUUACGGGAUCUCCAAAACAGCCUGGGGGCCUUGAAUUUGGCUAUGUUGUGA